GGCCUUACAAUGGGGGCGCUCUUCGUUACCCUGAGCCUCUUAGGGUUCGAUCUCAGUGUCCGUAUCUUUUAACACUCAAUAACUGUCCUGAGUUUUCUCUUCACCCGUUCCGUUCGUGGAGGAAGAAUAGGUCCCGAGCUGUCUUCUUCCCUUGAUGCCCCCUAAACAUGAUAGCUUUUAAACAUUUAGGGUCUUCGUUACGAUUUGAGAUGAGCAGAAAUAAAAAUCUGUGCAGAUAGAAAGUAGUAAAACUCAGGGCUCUCAGCUGUGAGUGUAUUGACUGCUGCUCUUCCCUGCUGCAGCAGGAUCAAGGUGAAAAGGAGAACCCCAUGCGGGAACUUCGCAUCCGCAAACUCUGUCUCAACAUCUGUGUUGGGGAGAGUGGAGACAGACUGACCCGAGCAGCCAAGGUGUUGGAGCAGCUCACAGGGCAGACCCCUGUGUUUUCCAAAGCUAGAUACACUGUCAGAUCCUUUGGCAUCCGGAGAAAUGAAAAGAUUGCUGUCCACUGCACCGUUCGAGGGGCCAAGGCAGAAGAAAUCUUGGAGAAGGGUCUAAAGGUGCGGGAGUAUGAGUUAAGAAAAAACAACUUCUCAGAUACUGGAAACUUUGGUUUUGGGAUCCAGGAACACAUCGAUCUGGGUAUCAAAUAUGACCCAAGCAUUGGUAUCUACGGCCUGGACUUCUAUGUGGUGCUGGGUAGGCCAGGUUUCAGCAUCGCAGACAAGAAGCGCAGGACAGGCUGCAUUGGGGCCAAACACAGAAUCAGCAAAGAGGAGGCCAUGCGCUGGUUCCAGCAGAAGUAUGAUGGGAUCAUCCUUCCUGGCAAAUAAAUUCCCGUUUCUAUCCAAAAGAGCAAUAAAAAGUUUUCAGUGAAA
rnacentral:sRNA from 1 species